UUAUGGAGAGUUUGAUCCUGGCUCAGGAUGAACGCUGGCGGCGUGCCUAAUACAUGCAAGUCGAGCGAACAGACGAGGAGCUUGCUCCUCUGACGUUAGCGGCGGACGGGUGAGUAACACGUGGGUAACCUACCUAUAAGACUGGGAUAACUCCGGGAAACCGGGGCUAAUACCGGAUAAUACAUGAAACCGCAUGGUUUC
rnacentral:rRNA from 1 species